GAUGAACGCUGGCGGCGUGCUUAACACAUGCAAGUCGAACGGGAAACAUUUUAUUGAAGCUUCGGCAGAUUUAGCUUGUUUCUAGUGGCGGACGGGUGAGUAACGCGUGGGUAACCUGCCUCACACUGGGGGAUAACAGUCAGAAAUGACUGCUAAUACCGCAUAAGCGCACGGGACCGCAUGGUUUUGUGUGAAAAACUCCGGUGGUGUGAGAUGGACCCGCGUUGGAUUAGCCAGUUGGCAGGGUAACGGCCUACCAAAGCGACGAUCCAUAGCCGGCCUGAGAGGGUGAACGGCCACAUUGGGACUGAGACACGGCCCAG
rnacentral:rRNA from 1 species